CCCUUAGAUGUUCUGGGCUGCACGCGUGCUACAAUGGCGUUUCCAGCAAGUCUGCGAACCCGAGAGGGCCAGCGGAUCUUCGAAUUGGCGUCGUGAUCGGGACAGUCGAUUGCAAUUAUUUGACUCAAACGAGGAAUUCCUUGUAAUCGCGAUUCAUCAUGUCGCGCUGAAUACGUCCCUGCCCUUUGUACACACCGCCCGUCGCUCCUACCGAUUGAGCGAUCCGGUAAAUGUUUUGGAUUGGUGCCGGGGCGGCUAGCUGCCGGUCGCUACGAAAUUUUGUGAACCUUAUCGCUUAGAGGAAGGAAAAGUCGUAACA
rnacentral:rRNA from 1 species